rnacentral:rRNA from 1 species
UACGAAGGGUGCAAGCGUUAAUCGGAAUUACUGGGCGUAAAGGGUGCGUAGGCGGUUGUUUAAGUCUGUCGUGAAAUCCCCGGGCUCAACCUGGGAAUGGCGAUGGAUACUGGGCAGCUAGAGUGUGUCAGAGGAUGGUGGAAUUCCCGGUGUAGCGGUGAAAUGCGUAGAGAUCGGAAGGAACGUCGAUGGCGAAGGCAGUCACCUGGCAUCAUACUGACGCUGAGGCGCGAAAGCGUGGGGAGCAAACAGG